AGGGGAUGUUUUAUGUGUUAUUGUAGAGGAUGCAAUGUGUGUGUGUUCUUAUAGAAUGUAGUUUAUAGGGAUACCAAUUUCUGUAAGGGAUGUAGUGUGUGUAUAGGGGAUGCAGUGUGUGUUUGUGUGUAAGGGGUGCAAGGUGUGUUUCUGUGUAUUUAAUUGAAUGCAGUGUGUGUCUGUAAGGGGUGCAUUGAUUGUGUAAGAGAUGCAUUUUGUUUCUGUGUGUAAGAGAAUGAGUGUUUGUGAGAACGUAAGGGAUGCAUUGUGUGUUUCGGGUGUGUCUUUGUGUGAGUAGGAAUGCAUUGUAUGUUUCUGUGUGUGUGGGGGGGAUGCAUUGUGUAUGUGUGUAGUGUAAAAGAGAGGGUUUGUGGGGUAGGAUAGAGACUGAGAGGGGAGCAGCUCUUUUUUUUAUUUUUUUCAUAGUGCUCUCCCCCCCUGUCAAUUAUUGAUUUCCCCUUCCCUCCUGUCCCUCCGUGUUCUCCCCUUCUGUCCCUUAGUGCUCUCCCUUGGCCCCCUGUAGUCCCCCCUUGGUGGUCUUCUCACUCCCCUCUCUCCCCCUUAGUGGUCCUCCAUCCCUCCCCUUAGUGGUCCACCCUCUCCCAAAC